ensembl:lncRNA
GUACAUUAAAGAAAUGUAUCCUGGUAGGCACCGUGUUAAAAAUCUGCCUGCCAAUGCAGGAGACUCAGUUUCUAUCCCUGAGUGGGGAAGAUCCCCUGGAGGAGGGCUUGGCAAUACACUCCAGUAUUCUUGUCUGGGAAAUCCAGUAGACAGAAGAGCCUGGCAGGGUACAGUCUACAGAGUCAGACACAUCUUAGCAACUAAACAACAACUCAGCAUCCUGGUUUGAUAGCCAUCUACUUGAAACAGGUAGACUUAGGAUCUAUAAUGGUCUAAACGGGUACUUCCCAAGUGCUGGAGAAACAGCCAGGUGAGUGAAGAAAACUGGAGACCUACAGCUUCAUCCAAACUCAUAGUUUAAAAAUUACUCUUUCUCCAAACUGCAGGAGUUCCAUUGGUUCACCUUUUGACCACAGAGAGCUAUCUCUGCUAGAGAGGGAUGAGUGUGCAGAGAGGGUUUAAUAGCGUGUGUUGUUCCUAGGGGAUUGGUGAGCAUGAAACAGAAAUCUCCUUUGAUGUCAAGAGGUCAGGAUGGGACAUUAAACCAAGCCACCAUGAGAGAUGAGUUUUGCCCAAGGCUCUCAUCCCUUUGUUGUUGUUGUUCAGUUGCUAAGUCAUGUCUGACUCUUUGAUCUCAUGGACUGCAGCAUGUCAGGCUUCCCUGUCCUUCACUGUCUCCCAGAGUUUGCUCAAACUCAAAUCCACUGAGUUGGUGAUGCCAUCCAAACAUUUCAUCCUCUGUCGCCCCCUUCUGCUCUCAAUCUUUCCAGUGAGUGAACUCUUUGCAUCAAGUGGCCAAAGUAUUGGAGCUUCAGCGUUAGUGCUUCCAAUGAAUACUCAGGGUUGAUUUCCUUUAGGAUUGAAUGAUUUGAUCUUAUGGUCCAAAGGAUAUCCCUGAAUACUCUCAACUAAGAUCAUGGCAUUCCAAAUUCUUUUGGAAGGCCCUCACAUUCCAGAGUUUGGUCAUCAUACCCCGGAUUCAGCUCUACUGGCCAAAUAUUAAAUGGACAACAAAAUGCUGCUACUGCUGCUAAGUCACUUCAGUGCGACCCCACAGACGGCUGCCCACCAAGCUCCUCUAUCCGUGGGAUUCUCCAGGCAAGAAUACUGGAGUGAGUUGCCAUUUCCUUCUCCAGUGCAUGCAUGCAUGCUAAGGUGCUUCAGCCGUGUCUGACUUUGUGCAACCCCAUGGAGAGCAGCCCAGCAGGCUUCUCUGUCCAUGGGAUUCUCUAGACAACAAUACUGGAGUAAGUUGCCGUUUCCUUCUCCGGGACAACAAAAUAGAUAUUUGAAAAAAGGUAUGUUGUCUGCACGUAGCAUCCUCCCAGUUAAUCUGCUUGCCCAUGAAGUAAACUCUCUCAACACUGAACACUUUAUAA